rnacentral:rRNA from 1 species
UACGUAGGGUGCGAGCGUUGUCCGGAAUUACUGGGCGUAAAGGGCGCGUAGGCGGCGCGGGUAGUCAACGGUGAAAGCUUGGGGCUCAACCCCGAGUCGGCCGUCGAUACUCCCGUGCUUGAGCACUGUAGAGGCAGGUGGAAUUCCGGGUGUAGCGGUGGAAUGCGUAGAGAUCCGGAAGAACACCGGUGGCGAAGGCGGCCUGCUGG